GACGAACGCUGGCGGCGUGCUUAACACAUGCAAGUCGAACGGUGAAGCGCCUUCCUUUUUGGUGGGUGUGGAUGAGUGGCGAACUGGUUAGUACCACGUGAGUAACCUUCCCCCUUCUUCUGGAUAACCGCAUGAAAGUGUUGCUAAUACGUGAUAUUCUGGGUCUGUUGCUUGAUGAGUCUGGGACAGAUAUUGUUUCGGUUGGGGAUGGGCUCGCGGCCUAUCAGCUUGUUGGUGGGGUGAUGGCCUACCAAGGCGGUGAGGGGUAGCCGGCCUGAGAGGGUGGACGGCAACAGUGGGAAGGAGAGACGGCGCAGACUACUACGGGAGGCAGCAGUGGGGAAUAUGGAACAAUGGGAGGAAGGCUGAUGCAGCGACGCCGCGUGAGGGAUGGAGGCCUGAGGGUUGUGAACUUCUUUCGCGAGUGAAGCAGGGCUGACUCGUUUGUGGGUGGGUUGACGGUAGCUGGACAAGAAGCGACGGCUAACUACGUG
rnacentral:rRNA from 1 species